rnacentral:rRNA from 1 species
CCUACGGGGUGCAGCAGUGGGGGAUAUUGCACAAUGGGGGAAACCCUGAUGCAGCGACGCCGCGUGGGUGAAGAAGCGCCUCGGCGCGUAAAGCCCUGUCAGCAGGGAAGAAAAUGACGGUACCUGAAGAAGAAGCCCCGGCUAACUACGUGCCAGCAGCCGCGGUAAUACGGAGGGGGCAAGCGUUAUCCGGAUUUACUGGGUGUAAAGGGGGCGCAGACGGGGAUGCAAGCCAGGGGUGAAAGCCCGGGGCCCAACCCCGGGACUGCUCUUGGAACUGCGUGGCUAGAGUGCAGGAGGGGCAGGCGGAAUUCCUGGUGUAGCGGUGAAAUGCGUAGAUAUCAGGAGGAACACCGGUGGCGAAGGCGGCCUGCUGGACUGCAACUGACGUUGAGGCCCGAAAGCGUGGGGAGCAAACAGGAUUAGAUACCCGAGUAGUC